UACACUCCUACGGGAGGCAGCAGUGGGGAAUAUUGGACAAUGGGCGCAAGCCUGAUCCAGCCAUGCCGCGUGAGUGAUGAAGGCCCUAGGGUUGUAAAGCUCUUUCACCGGUGAAGAUAAUGACGGUAACCGGAGAAGAAGCCCCGGCUAACUUCGUGCCAGCAGCCGCGGUAAUACGAAGGGGGCUAGCGUUGUUCGGAUUUACUGGGCGUAAAGCGCACGUAGGCGGACUAUUAAGUCAGGGGUGAAAUCCCGGGGCUCAACCCCGGAACUGCCUUUGAUACUGGUAGUCUUGAGUUCAAGAGAGGGGAGUGGAAUUCCGAGUGUAGAGGUGAAAUUCGUAGAUAUUCGGAGGAACACCAGUGGCGAAGGCGGCUCACUGGCUCGAUACUGACGCUGAGGUGCGAAAGCGUGGGGAGCAAACAGGAUUAGAAACCCUAGUAGUCCC
rnacentral:rRNA from 1 species